rnacentral:rRNA from 1 species
AUUGAACGCUGGCGGCAGGCCUAACACAUGCAAGUCGAACGAGUGGCGGACGGGUGAGUAAUGUCUGGGAACCUGCCCGAUGGAGGGGGAUAACUACUGGAAAAGGUAGCUAAUACCGCAUACCAUCGGAUGUGCCCAGAUGGGCUUAGCUUGUAGGUGAGGUAACGGCUCACCUAGGCGACGAUCCCUAGCUGGCCUGCGAGGAUGACCAGCCACACGGGAACUGAGAAACGGCCCAGACUCCCACGGGAGGCAGCAGUGGGGAAUAGUGAACAAUGGGCGCAAGCCUGAUGCAGCCAGGCGGCGGGUAUGAAGAAGGCCUUCGGGUUGUAAAGUACUUUCAGCGGGGAGGCGUUACCCGCAGAAGAAGCACCGGCUAACUCCGUGCCAGCAGCCGCGGUAAUAC